AGGAGGAACAGCCCCAGUGGCGGGGCAGCUCUGGAAACCUGGAUUCAGCUCCGGCAGGAACUCCGUCUGCAGGGCCUGGAGGCUCUGGGGCGGG
rfam:Canis lupus familiaris chromosome 1, whole genome shotgun sequence.